rnacentral:rRNA from 1 species
AAACUAACAAGGAUUCCCCUAGUAACGGCGAGUGAAGCGGGAAGAGCUCAAAUUUGUAAUCUGGCACUUUCAGUGUCCGAGUUGUAAUCUCGAGAAGUAUUUUCCGCGCCGGACUGCAUACAAGUCUGUUGGAAUACAGCGUCAUAGUGGUGAGAACCCCGUAACUGAUGCAGAUGCCCGGUGCUUUGUGAUAUACUUUCGAAGAGUCGAGUUGUUUGGGAAUGCAGCUCAAAUUGGGUGGUAAAUUCCAUCUAAAGCUAAAUAUUGGAGCAAGACCGAUAGCGAACAAGUACCGUGAGGGAAAGAUGAAAAGCACUUUGGAAAGAGAGUUAACAGUACGUGAAAUUGUUGGAAGGGAAACGCUUGAAGUCAGACUUGCUAUUCGGAGUUCAGCCGCAAGGUGUAUUCUUCGAUUUGCAGGCCAGCAUCAGUUUUCGGGGGUGGAAAAUCGUGGUUUGAAGGUAGCAACUUCGGUUGUGUUAUAGCUUUCCACUGGAUUCAUCUUUGGGGACUGAGGAACGCAGUACGCUUUUUGCAAGGCCCUCGGGCUUUUCGUACUUAGGAUGCUGGUGGAAUGGCUUUAAACGAC